rnacentral:lncRNA from 1 species
AGGGAAUUGAUAGACACAAGAACAAACCCUUGUUUUUCUAAUAUCAUGAGUUGUUAAGGUUUGACUUUCCUUAUCUCCUAAAAUCAAAAUAGACAAAACAAAAAACUUCUAUUUGCCAAAUUUUUCCCAGCAAGUUGCAAGAAGAAGCUGCAGUCCAAUAUAGAAUAAGUCAAUUGCUUUCUGUAAGAAGAAACUUUGAAUUUUUCUUAUAUAAACAAUAAUUUCAUCAUCUUAUUUUCUUUACUUCACCUGAAAAGCAAAAGAAAAAUUCUCAUCAGAGCAAAAAUUCUGGUAUUGUUAUUUUCUUACCUUUAUAUUUUGGGUUUGAGUAUCUUUUGUAUUUUCCGUAAAAAAACAACAGAAGUUCUGGCUAAUCCGUGGUGGACAGGACAUCAGGUAGGAUUACCUGGGGUGGUGGAUCAUCCCCACCACCCGUCAGGUAAUCCACCUGGUUUUAUGAACAAACGUCCCCACACCGAACUUUUCAUCAACGAAACCAAAAGAAGAGAAGAAGAAGAAGAAGACGAUGAAGAAAGAGACGACGAUGAACCAAAAGAAGGUGCAGUUGAAAUUGGAAACCGAAGACCAAGAGGAAGACCACCCGGUUCAAAAAACAAACCAAAACCACCAAUCUUCGUAACAAGAGACAGUCCAAAUUCACUGAAAAGCCAUGUGAUGGAAGUAUCCUCCGGAGCAGAUGUAGCCGAAAGUGUAGCCCAGUUUGCAAGAAGGCGACAACGCGGGGUUUGUGUUCUAAGCGGUAGUGGAUCAGUUGCAAAUGUUACCCUUAGACAACCUGCAGCACCAGGAGCUGUUGUAGCACUUCAUGGAAGGUUUGAUAUUCUAUCAUUAACCGGAGCUUUUCUACCAGGACCUGCUCCUCCAGGCGCAACCGGACUCACAGUGUACUUAGCCGGUGGACAAGGGCAAGUUGUUGGUGGAAGUGUUGUUGGACCUUUGAUUGCUGCUGGACCUGUUAUGGUUAUUGCUGCUACUUUUGCUAAUGCUACCUAUGAAAGAUUGCCACUUGAAGAAGAUGAGGAAGACGGUGGUGGUGGUGGGGUCCAUGGAGGACAUCAGGUUGCUGGUGGUGGUGGUAAUUCCUCUCCUCCUGGAAUUGGAAGUAGUGGCGGUGGCGGUGGCGGGGGCCACAUGCAGUCUAGCCAUCUUCCAGAUCCAUCUUCUAUGCCUUUGUAUAAUUUGCCACCAAAUCUUCUUCCUAAUGGUGGUCAUGUGGGACAUGAAGCUUUUCCAUGGCCUCAUGGAAUUAGGCCACCCUACUGAAAAAAUAUGAGAUGAUUACAAUUUAUAAGAAAUUGAAGAAAGGAGUUACCAAGUGUUUUUAGAGUAAUGGAAUAAAUAUAUAUGUAGUAUUAUAGUGUUUGUGAUGAAAAUGUGAUGAGAAUUGAGAAGUGAGAAGAGGAAGAAAUGUUAUUAUAUAUAAUUUUAUCACUCUCUAUGUAUGUGUAUAUGAUUAUUAAGUAAGAACUUUCUGUGUGUUUCCUUUUUAGUUGUGUUUUGGAAUAAAAAAGAUGAUGAUGGGUUUUUUUUGUUUUUUAAUUGAUUUCUGAUGAAUUGAUUAUCAUGUUUAUAUUCUCCAUGAUCAAGUAUUUUUUUACUCUUUGUUGCUUUGUUUUUUAAUUGUAUUAUUAUUUUAUUGAUGAAUUUGUUAGGGAUUGAAUACAUGCUGGAAUUAUUUUUCAUAAGACUUUGGAGAUAUGAAGUUUAAGCUUGUUUUGUUGGACUUGCUUAAAUAUAGUUUCUUCUAUCAAUCAUUACUAGCUUUUUUUUAUUUUUUAUUUUUUUUGAUGGAAAGGAAAAUGUAAUAGAAUAGAAAAGAUUCAUAAGUGAUUAGUUUCUCAUACAAUUUUCCCCAUAAAACUUAUCUAAGAAAUUUUAUUUUUAUAUUUUAAGGCAUUAGCAGAACUGAUUCUUAGGGUUUGUGAAUUUAAGCUUUGCUAGUGUGAAUGCAAAACAUGAUGAAAGCAAGUAGGGCUAUUUUGCUUUUUCUUAUUCUCUUCUUCUCUUUCUCUCUCUCACACACAGCUAUAUCUCUCUGCUUCUGUCUGCUCAUUAUAUUAUUUGAAUCCACCUUAGCAGCAGUUUACUGCUUAGUUAAUAAAAGUAUCUCUAAUAAAAAAUUGUUCAUGAAUAAAAUUAUAUUUUAUAUAUAAAAUAAACUCAUGUAAUUCUAGUUUACAAAUUUUGGUCUACUAUCUAUACUUAAAUGAAUCAAAUCUAAGGAUACUAGGGUUGUUUGCAACUAGUUAGAGAAAUUAAACCUCUUUCAUAUAGUUGCUUAGUAUAAAAUAUGUUCCACUUUCAAAGAGAAACUUGAAUUACAAUAUACUUUUCUCUUAUCUUAAAAUAUCCAUUCUACUCUAAAAAGUAAAAACAUUACAUUCAAUCUAUUAUAUCAUCUUUCUUGACUUAAAUUUUAGAGGGUGACAUAUUAUAAAGAACAACGGACAAGAAAUGACAAUUAUCGAGAUUUGAUUGCUAAACCGUUCACUCGUAAAACACUUAUGGAGUAAUCAAAUAUGUGAGUAAGCAAUCAUAUUUGAUGUCAUAAACACUUUUGGAUCUAUCACCUCAAUGUUAAAUCUACCAAAGAGAAUAAAAUUUUGUGGGAUGACAUGACACAUUUUCCCUAAGUUAAUCAAAGAGAAGAGAUACAUAGGAGUUAGAAAGAUGUUGUAGUGUAGGUUUAAACUUCAUUAACUCACUGCCAAAUAAGAACUUAUCAUUUUUUUUGGUGGUUGGGAUUCGAACCCCAGACCUUGCAUAUAUUAUACAUUGUCCAUACCAACUGAAUUAAGCUCACGGGGACAUAAGAAUUUUUUAUUUUUUUUUAUAACUAGAAGAACUUAUCAUUUGUUAUCCAACAAAAAGAGUUUAAGAAAUAUAUAAUAUUAUAGUAUACAAGUUGCUUAGUAAGAAAAAUAGUAGAAGAGACAAGAGACUAAACAAAGUAUCAAAUGUGGACCAACAAUUUUUAGUAAAAUCAUGUGUUUUGAACAUAGCGAAAGGGAGUGAUAUUUUACUCAAAACUGUGGAGAUCUGCAAAAUGUAUACCUUUUUUUUUUUUUUUUGACAAAAGGAUGCAAAAUAUAUACUUGAAACUGCAAAUCAUGUGGACCAACAAUUUUUAGUAAAAUCAAGUGUUAUGUCCAUAUUAGAUAUAACUGCAAAAUAUACUUGAAAAAUAACUAAAGAUAAUCAACUUUAGGUUUAUUUUUUUUUUGAAGCAAACUUUAGGUUUAUUUAAGAACAAAUAAUUAACUUUAAUUUGGGAUGGCCGUACAUAAAAUAAUAUUUUUUUUGUCUAACCGUACAUAAAAUAUUUUGAGUGAGCUCCCAAGAAAGUACAGCCUCAAGUUUUGAAAUAACCAACAUAAGGAAAAACAUACAGUCAAAUCUGGUUGGAGGAGACAAAAUGUGCUGACUUUAUUUAUGUUUAUGAGUAAGCAAUACUAAUCAUAAAUAAGGAAUAAUUACGUUGGAAAUUUGGAAUUAUGUACAUCAAAUCCAAUUUCGUGAUAAGACCAAAUGAAAUCAGAGCCAAUUUAAGUAGAAAUUUGACAAGUUAAAAUAGAAGUCAAUAAUCUAGUAAAAGGCAUGCUCAAAUAGUAGUCAAUUUGUUGGAACAAAGAGGCUAAAACGUUAGUCAAAAUGUAGAAAAGAUGAAGCUAAAACAUGAGUCAAUAUGUGAAAAUAUAUGAAUUAUUGUGAACAAAAGAUAAAAGAAAAAUUAUUGACUCAAACUCUACUUUGUAGGAUUAAAUUUUGAAAGGAUUUAUAGGAUUAAAUAUGUUUUUUUAAUAUAGGAUCAGAUAUGUUUUUACUUUUUUAUAAAAUUACGAAUCUUUUCAAUUGUAGUUUUUCUAUUAAUAUUUUUAACCAUUUUUAGUACCUAUAAAAAAAAAAAUGUUGUUUCUAGUUCAUACAAAGAGACAAAAAGUUGUGAAAGGUAGAGAUUGGAAUUGAUGAAAUUUUCAUAGAUGGAGGUUGAAUAGUUUAAUUGAUUUCAUCUAAAAGAUAAAAAAUUAGAUGUUAUGAAUUUCAACCCAAACAAAGGAGAAAAAAGAAAUCUAACAUCUAAUUAUUAACAUUUGUCGUUAAUGAAGGCAAAACAUUUAUAAACUAACUAAAAAUAUGGAUGGUUUAUAAGGAAGAAAAACUUUUUUUUAAGUGAGGGACGAAAAACAUAUUAAACAAAGUUAACCUGAGAUGACAUAGGGGAGAUCAUAAACAAAGUAAAUCACAUUUUCCUUUGAUAUAAAUGCAAAUUUCCCUAAACCCUAAAUACUUACUCUCUCCAGUCAAAUUCAUAAAAAAAAAACUUCUUAGGUUCAUUGAAAUAUAAUGUAUUUAGUCUAUAAUAUAUACUGAAUACAUUGAAUAUUUAAUGAUUCUUAAAUGUAGUUUUUUGCUUAUAAAUAUGAUUGGAUGAAGUACUCCCUCUGUUCCUUAAUGUAGCCAUCCAUUGUCUUUUUCACAUUUCUUAAGAAAAGUUGUCAGUGUAAUUAAUGUGUCUGUUUUGUGUGUUAAUAUUACGAAAUUGUCUUUUAUUUGUAUGUGUAUUAAAUUUGACUUUUCAUAUUUCAAGACAAGAUAGUGAUAUUAAUUAGGGUGUGUUUAGGAAAAUAAUAAUAAUAAAUGCAUCUAGUAAUUUGAAAAGAAAUUUAUAUUUAGGAACAAAAGUAAAAUCAAAUGGGUGUUUACAUAUAGGGUCAGAGGAAGUAUAAAAGAAUAAGAAAGCUAAGCUCAAGCGUUCAAAUGUAAUACCAUCAACAUCCAAUUUAACUUUUAUUAAGUAACCAGCCUAUAUUAAUUUAAAAUGAAAAUUAAAUCUGAGUUAAAUUUCUCUAAAAAUAAAAAGUACAUAUUUUAUUUAAGAAGAAUUAUAAAAAAGAUGAGUGAUAUCUAAACAACCAAAAUCAAACAACUUUAGUGAUAAUCUUUUUUCCUCUCUUCUUAUUGGACAAUAAUAAUAGAGAGAAAAAGAAAGAAAGAGGAUAAAAGUACAAUGAGAGUAUAAGAGAGAAAGUUGUCACAAAAGUUAUUUAAAAGUGAUUGUUCAAAUAUCAUUUCUCUAUAAAAAUAAAAAUAAAACAAAUAUUAAUUUGUGUUCUCAAAAGCACAUGUUAAGGAACUUAUUAUAAAAACAUACGUAUCAAAAGUCGUGUAGUCAACUUCUUAAUAGUUAAAUUAUCAUGUUUUCUAAUUUAAAGUUGCUCAAUUUGGAUUCCUUAACAUGUGCCCUUAUGACACAAGUUAAUAGUCCUUUCUAGAAACUCUAAAAUAUUCACUUUGUCGCAUGCACAUGACCCAAGUAUUGCACAAAUUAAAGUGUUACAAACCUUGCCGGGGCAUAUUACACACUUUCUUGUAUUUUCUAGUUGAAGCUGUUAAUGUUUGAACUUUGAAGUAUGGAAUGAAGUAUGGCUCUAUUCUUUCUACUUCGAUUUCAUCAAAUUUUGCAGACACUUUUGUCGUCCCAUCCACACCCACGUGUUAAUGUUAAGGAUAAAUCACUAGAUAGAUAUGGUCAAUGCCCACAGGAUUUCUUCUUUUGUAAAGUUUAUUUUAGUAAAAUGGAGGAUUUUCUGUUCAUGCCUAAAUGUAGAGUAAGAUUUAUGCAUAAAGGGAGAGUAAAGAUCAUAUGAGAGGGGUGAUGAUGUGAUAUUAGAUUAUUAAAAUAUCGCUGAUAAAUGGAGGUGUAUAUAAAAGGUGUAUAAAAAAGGAUGUUUAUAUAUAAUGACUAUUGUAUGUAAUAUGAGUGAUGUGUUUAGGACGAACAAAGGUUAAACACUCAACCAUAAAAAAUAAAAAAUAAAAAGAAAUGUCAACCAGUAUCAACAAAAGGCUAUCGGUCCAAACACAAAAAUGGUUUCAACUUCCACUCGUAAAGUAGACAGUAGUUCAAAGAAGUCUUACCCAAAAACCGCUUCCAAAAGAAAAAAAUUGAUUACAAAAACGCUUCCAAAAAUGCUUUAAUUGCUCAAUAUUUUUCAACUUGAGAAAAAAAAAUUGAUAUCACUACACCACUUUCAAUUGGACUACCCUACCGAAUGUCUUACCACAACAAAUCCAUUCAUACACCUAGACUCUACCCUCAAAGGUAGGGGUGUAACACUUCGGUUUGGAUUGGUUUUCAGUCAAAAAAAAGUCUGAAUCGAUGAAACCUUCAUCGGUUUGGAUUGGUUCGAUUUUCACUGUUUUUCAAAAAAGAAAUCGAACCAAAUUAAUCGGUUUAGUUCGAAUUGGAUUGGUUCAGUUGAUCGGUUUAAUUAAAAAUACAAUUAAAAAAAAUUCAUAUUCUGACAAAAUAUUUUACAGAACUUUGUAUAAUUUUAUUUCAUAUUUUUUUUUUUUCAUGUUCACUAUUUUUCAAACAACUUUUUAUAACUAACCUUACUCAAUAUUUCAUAUAUAUGAUCCAAGAUUCAUUCAUCCAUCAUUCUUCAAAAACAACUUCAUCAAACUCAAAUAUUUCAAUCAUUCAUGAUCCAUACAUGGAUCAUUGGGAUAGAAAAUGAACAUGGAAAACAAUGAAAUAUAAUGACUACAAAUCAAUGGCAUAAACAUGAUAAAACUAACCAAGAGAUGAACAAUCUCAGCGGUGACCGGUGGCGAUGAACAAUGGGCUUGGUGUGGUUGACGGCUAGGGUUUCUUUUUAAGUAGAAAUGAAAUAGUCUGACUGAUGAGAUGAGAUGAAGAUUAGAGAAAGUGAAUGGAUUAAAAAGUAUUUUAUGUUUAAUUUUGGGUCUAACCAUAAGUUUGUGUGAGGUAUGAUAAUAUUAGUAAAAUAAGGAGUUUGGUUAUCAUCAGAUUGGUUCAUCGGUUUCACGGAUCUCGAAAUAAAAAACCAUGAACCAAACCAAACUAGAUCGGUAUCGAUUGGUUCGGAUCGGUUUCAAACCGAACCAAACAAGGUUGGAUAUUUUUUCGUUUUGGUUCGGUUUGGACUUUCGGUUUCGUUGGUUUUGUCCGAACCACUUACACCCCUACUCAAAGGCCUAAAAAACUGAUCACAAGUAGAGUAGAUCAAGGGGCAUAACUCACUUCCCCCCAACCUUAUCCAAAUCUUAUUACACACAUGAAUGGGAAACUCACAAGUAAUGAAAAGAUGGUGCACCACAAACACACAAGAGGUACCGUUAGGGUCUAAGAACACUUCUUGACGACGAAGACUAUAACUGAUAAAGGCCUUGUCAAGAAGUAACUGUAAAGAGAAGGCAAUUACUUCGUACAAAAAUCAACUCUUCAAGAUUUUAGUUAAACAAUGAAGGCCCGUCACCCACAAACGAAUAGUAAGUGGUAAAUCAAACCGAGUAGCUAUCAGUAUUUGAAGCCUUUAGGGGUAGCACCUAGGUGCAAGAAGGGUCUUGUUAUUGUAUGACAUUCGAUAGUGUAAUUUAUUUAAAAGUCACGUAAUGAUAUAUAUUUUUUUUUUAUAAGAUGAUUGUUGUUGAGCCAUUGGUUGAUAAAAUUAAUUUUUCUCUUGAAAAUUAUUUUUGGUUGAGACUUAAUAGAACUCAUACCUUUUACUCGUGGAAGGUAGAAUCCUCCAUGUUCUUAUCGACUAUUCCGCUUGUAUGCCAUGGUUUGACUUUUAUACAUAUUAAGAAUUCAAUUUGUUCCAUUUGAAUAAAUAAAGCAUUUAAGUUGUGUCUCAAAUAUGAUAAAUUGCGUCGUUUGUAGUGCAUAAAGGGGCAAAUGAAAAUUAGUCUUGAUGUAAC